GUGGGGAAUAUUGCACAAUGGGCGCAAGCCUGAUGCAGCCAUGCCGCGUGUGUGAAGAAGGCCUUCGGGUUGUAAAGCACUUUCAGCGGGGAGGAAGGCGGUGAGGUUAAUAACCUCAUCGAUUGACGUUACCCGCAGAAGAAGCACCGGCUAACUCCGUGCCAGCAGCCGCGGUAAUACGGAGGGUGCAAGCGUUAAUCGGAAUUACUGGGCGUAAAGCGCACGCAGGCGGUCUGUUAAGUCGGAUGUGAAAUGCCCGGGCUGAACCUGGGGACUGCAUUCGAAACUGGCAGGCUAGAGGGUUGUAGAGGGGGGUAGAAUUCCAGGUGUAGCGGUGAAAUGCGUAGAGAUCUGGAGGAAUACCGGUGGCGAAGGCGGCCCCCUGGACAAAGACUGACGCUCAGGUGCGAAAGCGUGGGGAGCAAACAGGAUUAGAAACCCGAGUAGUCC
rnacentral:rRNA from 1 species